GAAGUGUAAAUAUAGAAUCCUUGUCUCCAACGGUCCAACCGCAUUAGGAUUCUGUAAGGGUAAAGAGGUAAUUUCAUCAUCAAACGAGAGAGAUGUAUAAAUUGCCUACAUAUAGAGUUCCAGACGUCCAUUUCGCUGUGUUUCUUCUUCUUCUUCUUCUUCCUCUUCUUCUUCAAUUUGGAGUUCCCAAUUCUCAUCUCCUUUCUUUCUUUAUUUCUUUCUUCUUCUUUUUCUUCUUCUUCUUUGAUUGGUUUCUCUGAACAGAUUGAUCAUGGAAUCCGAAAAUGGAAAAUUGUUCGUCGGCGGCGUCUCAAGGGAGACGAACGAAGAGGCUUUGAAGGCAUACUUCGCCAAGUUUGGGGAGGUGGAGCAGACAUUGGUCAUGAGGGACAGGAAUACGGGACAUGGAAGAGGGUUUGGCUUCGUCACCUUCUCAGACCCCUCUGUCACGGAGAAAGUCCUUCAAGAAAAGCACCGCAUUCAAGGAAGAACGGUAGACGUGAAACGAGCAAGACCUAAAAAUGAGAGGAUUCAAGGCCAGCACCACAGCCUCCACCAUCAUCAUAAUAAUGGGUUUAGUGGGAAUACUCAUAAUGGCUUUACUAAUAAUCAGUUUACAACAAAGAAAAUAUUUGUUGGUGGGUUACCCUCCAGUCUAACGAAGGAAGAGUUCAGAAGCUAUUUUGAGAGUUUCGGUAACAUUACGGAUGUGGUUGUGAUAUAUGACAGAGAAAGCCACAGACCAAGGGGUUUUGGGUUCAUUACUUUUGAUUCAGAGGAAGCUGUGGACAAUGUGUUGCAGAAAAGAGUCCAUGAAUUGAACAAUAAACUUGUAGAGGUAAGGAGGGCUGAGCCUAAGGAUAGGAUUAAUAGGCAGAUGGCCAAUGACUUGGGCUAUGGAAGGGGGUUUUGGUUUGGUAGUUUUGGAAUUUAUUCACCUUAUGCUUCUCCUUCCAGUGUUUACCCUGCUGGUGCUCUGCCUUAUGGGAAUACCACUGCUGCAAUUUGUUAUGGAUUGAACCCUUAUGGAGUAGGGAAUUCCACCAUUGGGUAUGAUGGAGUUGGUUAUGGAGGGUUCUCGGCUGUGCCUCCUAGAGGUUUUUGGGAUGGCUUCCAUCGUAGUCAGGGUACUGUGCCUUAUGGAAACUCUGUGUAUUAUCCCACAUACAUGGAUGGUGGGGCCUAUAUGUGUAGUUGGGCUAGUUGGGUCCCUAAUGGAGACAAUGGCAGUCACAGUAGUUCUGGGAUUCUGCGUAAUUUGAAUAAGGAUGAUGGUGGUGGUGCUGAGGUUUUAGCUGUUGCAAGCCCGCCUGAUGCUGUGGCCUCUACAUUCAGCAGAUCCUCGAAUGACAAUGGUGAUGGUAUUCACACUGACGUUUCUGCAACUACAAACCAUGCUCAGAUUAAUGAUAUAUCAAGUUCGCAAGAUAGCAACAAUGUGGAAAAUCGAAGUGGCAACAAUGGGGAAAAUCAAAGCAGCAAUGAAGUGGAAAAUCAAAGGGAUGACAAUGUGGAAAAUCAAAGUGGCAACAAUGGGGAAAAUCAAAGCAGCAAUGAUGUGGAAAAUCAAAAGGAUGACAAUGUGGAAAAUCAAAGUGGCAACAAUGGGGAAAAUCAAAGCAGCAAUGAUGUGGAAAAUCAAAGGGACAACAAUGUGGAAAAUCAAAGUGUCUCUGAGGAACAAUCUACACCUUGAAAUUCUUGUUGACUCCACCAUGUAAAUUGGUUUCAGCUUGAACAUUGUAAAGAUUGCACCUAUUUCUUUCCUUUUGUAAGGUUGAAUUUUCUACAGAUUCCAUCUAUUUCUUUCCUUUUGUAAGUAUACGCUAGAAACAGAGAACAUUAUGGAAUGCAAAAUCAAAUGCUUCUUUGCGGUGCCUAAAUGAGACAAUUCACUGUGUGAAACUUGAAAAUAACGGGAGAUGUCGCUACUCAGCCAGAAUGCGGAUGCAGUACAUAGGAGCAGCAAACAAGAUUGUAUAAUUAAAGGCUGAUGACACCAACUAAUCUGUUGACAAUUUUUUUCUUGGAAAUCAAUUUGUUGGGUAUUAUAUGCUGGAUUAGAUGGUUACGUUCAAUAAUGUUAAUUUUUCUUGUAGCUAAUGUUGAUUUCAAUAAUGUUAAUUUCACUUACUGUUACCUCUCAAA